rnacentral:antisense_RNA from 1 species
GAGAAAAAAUGCUUGAGAAAAAAUGCUUGAGAAAAGAUGUAUUUUUUUUUAUUCGUUAGCAUUUUUCCAGAUAUCGUUGAACAUUGCUAGAAUACUAUCAAACCCGACUUUCCCCUUCACCGCGUUAUCACUAAAACGUUUAACGCCCCAGUUUUCUACUUUCUCACUAAAGGUUUUGGUCGGAACACCAGACAGAAACUUUGCAUCCUGCUUGAAAAGAGUCACAUUCGAUGGAUUUUUCGGAUGAGGAACAUAACGUACGGUUUCGUAACACUUCAAAAUAUGCGGGAAGGUCAUAUUGCAACUCCUCAUAGUUAAAGAUCUGUCCCUUCGAUCAACGGUGGAGACCUCUCGCACGUAUGCUAAAUUAGUGUUCCCCACUAAAAUGGACAUCCAGUGAGGGGUGUUCUGACGUAUGGUUAUCAGCCGUUCUGUAAGAAGUACAUCGCCAUGUUCUUUGAGCUCUCGGCGGAGCACAUCGACUGCAAUAACGUGUGUGGAGAUCUUGUUUGGAUAUUUCAUCCAGUUCGCCGUGGUGACUUUCUCCCAUGGGUAAUCGAAUUCAUAAGAUUUUUGAAAUGAUUUCAUUAUUAAUAUAUAAGCUCGAGAGAUAUAUGACUAAUAGAAAUAUUUACUUGAACUUGUCGAUUAGAGAAAAGAAAAUGCGUUGCUUGGACCGCAGAUCCCACUUAUUGUUUUCUUACCAAAUGUGACAAGAUCUAUAUAGGUUUAUGAACUUUCUUCG